ACGGGGGGGGCAAGCGUUGUUCGGAAUUACUGGGCGUAAAGGGCUCGUAGGUGGCCAACUAAGUCAGACGUGAAAUCCCUCGGCUUAACCGGGGAACUGCGUCUGAUACUGGAUGGCUUGAGUUUGGGAGAGGGACGCGGAAUUCCAGGUGUAGCGGUGAAAUGCGUAGAUAUCCGGAGGAAGACCGGUGGCGAAGGCGGUCUGCUGGGCAGUGGCUGACGCUGAGGCGCGACAGCGUGGGGAGCAAACAGGA
rnacentral:rRNA from 1 species